GUCACAUACAUCAAAACAGUUGG
rnacentral:piRNA from 1 species